rnacentral:rRNA from 1 species
GAUCCUGGCUCAGGACGAACGCUGGCGGCGCGCCUAACACAUGCAAGUCGAACGGGGCUUACGUUUUGAAGUUUUCGGAUGGAUGAAUGUAAGCUUAGUGGCGGACGGGUGAGUAACACGUGAGCAACCUGCCUUUCAGAGGGGGAUAACAGCCGGAAACGGCUGCUAAUACCGCAUGAUGUUGCGGGGGCACAUGCCCCUGCAACCAAAGGAGCAAUCCGCUGAAAGAUGGGCUCGCGUCCGAUUAGCCAGUUGGCGGGGUAACGGCCCACCAAAGCGACGAUCGGUAGCCGGACUGAGAGGUUGAACGGCCACAUUGGGACUGAGACACGGCCCAGACUCCUACGGGAGGCAGCAGUGGGGGAUAUUGCACAAUGGGCGAAAGCCUGAUGCAGCGACGCCGCGUGAGGGAAGACGGUCUUCGGAUUGUAAACCUCUGUCUUUGGGGAAGAAAAUGACGGUACCCAAAGAGGAAGCUCCGGCUAACUACGUGCC